rnacentral:rRNA from 1 species
AUACGGAGGGGUCCGAGCGUUGUCCGGAUUUACUGGGCGUAAAGGGUGAGUAGGCGGUUGCAUAUGUCAGAUGUAAAAGGCACAGGCUCAACUUGUGUUAGCAUUUGAAACUGUGCGACUUGAGUGCAGGAGAGGUAAGUGGAAUUCCUAGUGUAGCGGUGAAAUGCGUAGAUAUUAGGAGGAACACCAGUGGCGAAGGCGACUUACUGGACUGUAACAGACGCUGAGUCACGAAAGCGUGGGUAGC